rnacentral:lncRNA from 1 species
GCCUACUGGCUCGGGCCUAAUCAUAUUAGGUUGUGGUCCAUGAUCAUCUGGUGUGAUUGCUUAUACACAUACUAGAUAUGUAUAUAUAUUUGCAUGCGAUGUAGAUAUAUAUUAAAUAUGUAUAUGUGUGACAUGUCAUAUUAGGAGACCAAAUCAUAGAAACAUCUCUCGAUAAUAUUAAGUCGGUAAACGUGAGGCAAUUAGAUUGACCCACG